rnacentral:rRNA from 1 species
UACCCGCAGCACAAGUGGUGGUCAUUAUUAUUGGGCCUAAAGCGUCCGUAGCUGGCUUGUUAGAUGCCUGGGUAAAUCGAUGCGCUCAACGUAUCGAAUUCCGGGUAGACCGGCAAGCUCGAGACCGGGAGAGGUGUAGGCUACUCGAGGGGUAGGGGUAAAAUCCUGUAAUCCUUCGGGGAGGACCAGUGGCGAAGGCGCUACACUAGAACGGCUCUGACAGUGAGGGACGAAGCCCUGGGCGCAAACCGG